rnacentral:rRNA from 1 species
CCCUUAGAUGUUCUGGGCUGCACGCGCGCUACACUGAUGCGCUCAACGAGUUUUAACCUUGCCUGGAAAGGUUGGGUAAUCUUUUUAAAACGCAUCGUGAUGGGGAUAGAUUAUUGCAAUUAUUCAUCUUCAACGAGGAAUACCUAGUAAACGCAAGUCAUCAACUUGCAUUGAUUACGUCCCUGCCCUUUGUACACACCGCCCGUCGCUCCUACCGAUUGAACGAUCCGGUGAAAACUCAGGACUGAUGACUGACCAGCGGUUCGCCGUUGCCAGUUUCGGGAAUUUGUUUGAACCUUAUCGUUUAGAGGAAGGAGAAGUCGUAACA